rnacentral:rRNA from 1 species
AUACGGAGGAUGCAAGCGUUAUCCGGAUUCAUUGGGGUUAAAGGGUGCGUAGGCGGUUUGCUAAGCGGGAGGUGAAAUGCCGGGGCUCAACGUCGGAAGCGCCUCCCGAACUGGGGGACUGGAAUGACUCCGCCGUGGGGGGAAUGUGUAGGGUAGGGGUGCAAUGCUUAGAGAUUACACAGAACACCGAUUGCGAAGGCAUCUCACGAAGGGUUGAUUGACGCUGAGGCACGAAAGCGUGGGGAUCAGACAGGAUUAGAUACCCUGGUAGUCCACGCAGUAAACGAUGAUGGCUAACCGCUGGUUUAUUCGGAUCAGUGGCCAAGCGAAAGCGAUAAGCCAUCCACCUGGGGAGUACGACCGCAAGGUUGAAACUCAAAUGAAUUGGCGGGG